rnacentral:rRNA from 1 species
AGAGUUUGAUCAUGGCUCAGGACGAACGCUGGCGGCGUGCCUAAUACAUGCAAGUCGAGCGAACCAAUGGGAGCUUGCUCCCUGAGGUUAGCGGCGGACGGGUGAGUAACACGUGGGUAACCUGCCUGUAAGAUUGGGAUAACUCCGGGAAACCGGAGCUAAUACCGGAUAACAUUUCGAACCGCAUGGUUCGAAAUUGAAAGAUGGUUUCGGCUAUCACUUACAGAUGGACCCGCGGCGCAUUAGCUAGUUGGUGAGGUAACGGCUCACCAAGGCGACGAUGCGUAGCCGACCUGAGAGGGUGAUCGGCCACACUGGGACUGAGACACGGCCCAGACUCCUACGGGAGGCAGCAGUAGGGAAUCUUCCGCAAUGGACGAAAGUCUGACGGAGCAACGCCGCGUGAACGAUGAAGGUCUUCGGGUCGUAAAGUUCUGUUGUUAGGGAAGAACAAGUACCAGAGUAACUGCUGGUACCUUGACGGUACCUAACCAGAAAGCCACGGCUAACUACGUGCCAGCAGCCGCGGUAAUACGUAGGUGGCAAGCGUUGUCCGGAAUUAUUGGGCGUAAAGCGCGCGCAGGCGGUUUCUUAAGUCUGAUGUGAAAGCCCACGGCUCAACCGUGGAGGGUCA